ensembl:lncRNA
CAAACCUCAUUUAAGGGUUGGCAGCGGUAGUAAGGGUGUUUUGCUGGAGAUCCCUCUGCACUUGAGGCCUUCUGGGGGCAAUGAGUGUCUGAGUCUGUUAGGCCAAACUCCAGAAACCUCACCAGAAUGUCAGCUAUCAAGAUGACAAUUUCUGGAACUCAAGGCACAGCCGAAGAAGCCUUUCCGGACCAGAAACCUUUCUGGACCAGAAAAUGACCAUGGGACACAACAUACACAUGCCAGUGAAUAGGCUAUCAGGAGAUAAGAUAAUGUAACAAAUUCUGAAGAGGACAAGAUACAGGGCAAGCUGUCUCCAGGCCACGCUACCAUUUAUGGAGGAGUCUUAAAAAAAGACAUACUCUGCUGCAGACCUUGGACCAAAAAUGUUCAGUGCUACAUGAAAGGAAAGGCAUUCCCAGAGAGAGCUGUUCCCUUCCCAUACCUGGGAUUUUUCCCAAGAAGAG